rnacentral:sRNA from 1 species
UAGCAGGCGACGGAUCGGGUUCCUGCGU